rnacentral:rRNA from 2 species
UACGGGGGGAGCGAACGUUGUUCGGAAUCACUGGGCGUAAAGGGCGUGCAGGCGGCCCGGUAAGUGGAAUGUGAAAUACCCUGGCUCAACCAGGGAACUGCAUUCCAGACUGCCAGGCUUGAGUAUAGGAGAGGAUGGGGGAAUUCCCGGUGUAGCGGUGGAAUGCAUUGAUAUCGGGAGGAACACCAGUGGCGAAGGCGCCCAUCUGGCCUAAUACUGACGCUGAGGCGCGAAAGCUAGGGGAGCAAACAGG